rnacentral:rRNA from 1 species
AGCUCCAAUAGCGUAUAUUAAAGUUGUUGCAGUUAAAAAGCUCGUAGUUGGACUUCAGAGUGAGCUCAUACGGUCGGCCUAAUGGGUCAGAACUGGGUGACUUUCUCUUGCUUGUGGAUCCCGUCCGGAGUUAACUCUUCGGAUGUGGACUCCACAUCGUUUACCUUGAAAAAUUAGAGUGUUCAAAGCGGGCGUUUGCUUGAAUAUAUUAGCAUGGAAUAAUGGAAUAGGACCCUGGUUCUAUUUUGUUGGUUUUGAGAACCAGAGUAAUGAUUAAUAGGGAUAGUUGGGGGCAUUCAUAUUUCAUUGUCAGAGGUGAAAUUCUUGGAUUUAUGAAAGAUGAACUUCUGCGAAAGCAUUUGCCAAGGAUGUUUUCA